rnacentral:rRNA from 1 species
AUUGAACGCUGGCGGCAGGCCUAACACAUGCAAGUCGAACGGUAGCACGGAGAGCUUGCUCUCGGGUGACGAGUGGCGGACGGGUGAGUAAUGUCUGGGAAACUGCCCGAUGGAGGGGGAUAACUACUGGAAACGGUAGACAAUACCGCAUAACGUCGCAAGACCAAAGUGGGGGACCUUCGGGCCUCACACCAUCGGAUGUGCCCAGAUGGGAGUAGCUAGUAGGGGGGGUAAUGGCUCACCUAGGCGACGAUCCCUAGCUGGUCUGAGAGGAUGACCAGCCACACUGGAACUGAGACACGGUCCAGACUCCUACGGGAGGCAGCAGUGGGGAAUAUUGCACAAUGGGCGCAAGCCUGAUGCAGCCAUGCCGCGUGUAUGUAGAAGGCCUUCGGGUUGUAAAGUACUUUCAGCGGGGAGGAAGGCGGUGAAGUUAAUAACUUCACCGAUUGACGUUACCCGCAGAAGAAGCACCGGCUAACUCCGUGCCAGCCGCCGCCGUAA